UUCUUUCUCUUGUUCCUCUUCCCUGCAACGAGACGACGCGACGUGUCGGCGAUGCCACCGGGGAUCGAAGGACGAGCAGCAACGCGACCGACGCGGUUGCAAUGACGAGGGUGCAACGAGCCUGCGCCAACUCUGCCGUGUUGUACACGGGGGUGCCGACGAUGAAUGAGCCACCGGCGCUUCUCAGUGCCGCGCGAAACAGCGAAACUCGUCGUCGUCGUCGUCGUCGUCGCGACGCUAUUCCGCGUUAAGAAUAAACGGAUGAAAACUUCGCGAGAAAACGUUUUUCGUGCGAUUGCGAUCCCGUUUCGAUUCUAUUCAUACCCGAUACUUUGGCCGAUAAGCAUCAAAGUUUGAGAUUAUUGUGCCGCAGAUGAGAUUGUCUCUAAGAUCGAUAAAAAAAUUAUGCCGUGAUACGACAAAGACAUUUUAUGACUGGGCUUUUACUAAAACAAUACAUCUUUUCUACGUCGCUAAAUAUUAACGUGAAAGUUUUGACAGUUUAAUACGCAAUAAAAUUCGAUAAUAAAAACUCCAGACAAGAAAUAUAGUUGAUAUUAACUUUAAUAUUAACAAUGUUCUUCGAUCUCGCACACACACACACAUAUACACACAGAGUGUAAAUUUAAUAUCAAGAAAAUGAUGGAAAAUGAUGAAGAAAGAAUGCCUCAGCGUUUUCAAGAGAUUUAACUCACGAAAAUGUUACGUCAAAUGCCACGUCGUUGAAUUGAUAAACUACAUGCAAUAUAGUGGAUAGAAGACGUUACUUAAGACUCCGCCGUCCCGAAUUGUACGUAUUGCGGUAAACGAAAA